UGGGAAGGCACAGACAGCCAGGAUGUUGGCUUAGAAGCAGCCAUCAUUUAAAGAAAGCGUAAUAGCUCACUGGUCGAGUCGGCCUGCGCGGAAGAUGUAACGGGGCUAAACCAUGCACCGAAGCUGCGGCAGCGACACUAUGUGUUGUUGGGUAGGGGAGCGUUCUGUAAGCCUGCGAAGGUGUGCUGUGAGGCAUGCUGGAGGUAUCAGAAGUGCGAAUGCUGACAUAAGUAACGAUAAAGCGGGUGAAAAGCCCGCUCGCCGGAAGACCAAGGGUUCCUGUCCAACGUUAAUCGGGGCAGGGUGAGUCGACCCCUAAGGCGAGGCCGAAAGGCGUAGUCGAUGGGAAACAGGUUAAUAUUCCUGUACUUGGUGUUACUGCGAAGGGGGGACGGAGAAGGCUAUGUUAGCCGGGCGACGGUUGUCCCGGUUUAAGCAUGUAGGCUGGUUAUCCAGGCAAAUCCGGAUAACCAAGGCUGAGGUGUGAUGACGAGGCACUACGGUGCUGAAGUAACAAAUGCCCUGCUUCCAGGAAAAGCCUCUAAGCAUCAGGUAACAUCAAAUCGUACCCCAAACCGACACAGGUGGUCAGGUAGAGAAUACCAAGGCGCUUGAGAGAACUCGGGUGAAGGAACUAGGCAAAAUGGUGCCGUAACUUCGGGAGAAGGCACGCUGGUGUGUAGGUGAAGUCCCUGCGGAUGGAGCUGAGACCAGUCGAAGAUACCAGCUGGCUGCAACUGUUUAUUAAAAACACAGCACUGUGCAAACACGAAAGUGGACGUAUACGGUGUGACGCCUGCCCGGUGCCGGAAGGUUAAUUGAUGGGGUUAUCCGUAAGGAGAAGCUCUUGAUCGAAGCCCCGGUAAACGGCGGCCGUAACUAUAACGGUCCUAAGGUAGCGAAAUUCCUUGUCGGGUAAGUUCCGACCUGCACGAAUGGCGUAAUGAUGGCCAGGCUGUCUCCACCCGAGACUCAGUGAAAUUGAACUCGCUGUGAAGAUGCAGUGUACCCGCGGCAAGACGGAAAGACCCCGUGAACCUUUACUAUAGCUUGACACUGAACAUUGAGCCUUGAUGUGUAGGAUAGGUGGGAGGCUUUGAAGCGUGGACGCCAGUCUGCGUGGAGCCAACCUUGAAAUACCACCCUUUAAUGUUUGAUGUUCUAACGUUGGCCCCUGACCGGGGUUGCGGACAGUGUCUGGUGGGUAGUUUGACUGGGGCGGUCUCCUCCCAAAGCGUAACGGAGGAGCACGAAGGUUAGCUAAUCCUGGUCGGACAUCAGGAGGUUAGUGCAAUGGCAUAAGCUAGCUUGACUGCGAGCGUGACGGCGCGAGCAGGUGCGAAAGCAGGUCAUAGUGAUCCGGUGGUUCUGAAUGGAAGGGCCAUCGCUCAACGGAUAAAAGGUACUCCGGGGAUAACAGGCUGAUACCGCCCAAGAGUUCAUAUCGACGGCGGUGUUUGGCACCUCGAUGUCGGCUCAUCACAUCCUGGGGCUGAAGUAGGUCCCAAGGGUAUGGCUGUUCGCCAUUUAAAGUGGUACGCGAGCUGGGUUUAGAACGUCGUGAGACAGUUCGGUCCCUAUCUGCCGUGGGCGCUGGAGAAUUGAGGGGGGCUGCUCCUAGUACGAGAGGACCGGAGUGGACGCAUCACUGGUGUUCGGGUUGUCAUGCCAAUGGCACUGCCCGGUAGCUAAAUGCGGAAGAGAUAAGUGCUGAAAGCAUCUAAGCACGAAACUUGCCCCGAGAUGAGUUCUCCCUGAGACUUUAAGUCUCCUGAAGGAACGUUAAAGACGAUGACGUUGAUAGGCCGGGUGUGUAAGCGCAGCGAUGCGUUGAGCUAACCGGUACUAAUGAACCGUGAGGCUUAACCUU
rnacentral:rRNA from 1 species